GAUGAACGCUGGCGGCGUGCUUAACACAUGCAAGUCGAACGGACAGGCGCUGCUCUUGUUGGUUGCUCGAGUGGCGAACGGGUGAGUAACACGCGAGUAACCUCCCCCUGUCUUUGUGAUAACUUCACGAAACUGGGGCUAAUACCGGAUAUGAGCUCCUGCUGCACGGUGUUGGUUGGAAAGUUUCGGCGGUUGUGGAUGGACUCGCGGCUUAUCGGCUAGUUUGUGGGGUAGUGGCUUACCAAGGCUUUGACGGGUAGCCGGCAUGAGAGGGUGACCGGCCACAUUGGGACUGAGGUACGGACCAGACUGCUACGGGAGGCAGUAGUCGGGAAUCUUGCGCAAUGGGCGGAAGCCUGAUGCGGAGGCGCCGCGUGCGGGAUGACGGCCUUCGAGUUGUAAACAGCUUUGGCAUGUGACGAAGAGUGAGUGACGGUAAUGAGUAAAGAAGCACCGGCUAACUACGUG
rnacentral:rRNA from 1 species